rnacentral:rRNA from 1 species
GCGAGAAAACUUUGCAAUGCGCGAAAGCUCGACAAGGUUAAUCUGAGUGGUUCCUGCUAAAGGAACCUUUUGUUAGUCGUAGAACCACUGAUGAAUAAGGGGUGGGCAAGUUCUGGUGUCAGCCGCCGCGGUAAAACCAGCACCUCAAGUGGUCAGGAUGAUUAUUGGGCCUAAAGCAUCUGUAGCCUGUUCUGUAAGUUUUCGGUUAAAUCCAUAAGCUCAACUUAUGGGCUGCCGAAAAUACUGCAUGACUAGGGAGUGGGAGAGGUAGACGGUACUCGGUAGGAAGGGGUAAAAUCCUUUGAUCUAUUGAUGACCACCUGUGGCGAAGGCGGUCUACCAGAACACGUUCGACGGUGAGGGAUGAAAGCUGGGGGAGCAAACCGGAUUAGAUACCCGGGUAGUCCCAGCUGUAAACGAUGCAAACUCGAUGAUGCGUUGGCUUGUUGCUAGCGCAGUGUCGCAGGGAAGCCGUUAAGUUUGCCGCCUGGGAAGUACGUACGCAAGUAUGAAACUUAA